GAUAACUCCUCCACCCUGAUAAUUCCUCCUCCUCCAUCUCUCUAGGGUUUAAGUGAAUUUCCUGAUUCAAGAAAUAAGUCCAAACUCCAAACUGGUUUACGUGAAUUUCCCAUUUGUUUGAGCGACAACUCUCUCCUCUCUUGCUUGAUUGAAGAAAAAGGAUCCAAGAAAGCUGAACGUAAGGGUGAUUGAGAACCAUGGAAGGGGAUUGAAGAAGAAAGAAAACGUAUCUGGGAUUUGGGGAUUCAAGAAAACACAAUUAAGAGUGAUUGAAAACCAUAGAAGGGUAUUGCAGAAGAAAGAAAACGGGAUUUGGGGAUUCAAGAAAACUUAGUUAAGAGUGCUUGACAACCAUUGAAGGCUAUUGAAGAAGAAAGCGGGAUUUAAGAAAUCGUAAUCAACUCCUUCUCUCUAUCUUGCCGGUUUACUGAACAAGAAACUUGUUUGGGGUUUAAGAAAACUUCCGUUAAUAUUGUUCACUCCCUCACCCUCUCUCUAUCUUGCCGGUUGGUUGAAGAAGACUUCUCUGUGGUUUGAAAAACAGGAUGAUCUACAAAGAUUGGAACAGAAUCUAUCGCGUGUAGAAGCACUCAUAAAAAGAAGUGAAUUACAAACUAGGUAUGAGACCGACAAAAAGGAGCUCCAGGAUGCUAGAGAUGAAUUGUUAGAAGCACAGACGAAGACCCGCGAUAGAUUAGAUUCUACUCAAAAUUGGUCUCUAGGAAUUUUUGUUUUUCUUGUCACGUUCAAUGGUUUAUUUUAUGCACACUUACCAACAGCGGGGCAUAUGAAUUGGUUCGAGUUUUUGAUGAUUACGGAACACAAGAUAGACACCGUUGAGGAAGAAGGAGAGGCUUUGGACGAAAAAUUUGAACUAUUGAAAGAGACCUUUUUUGGAUUGUCUGCAACAAGUGAAGAAAGAAAUGCUGAACUCCUUGAGCUCGUGCACAAUUCCGAAAAAUACAAGGAUAGGGUACAAGUGAAGAGAAGAUAAAAUACAGAGUCGCUGCUGGUGAUAAUUAUGAUCCGUUGAGAUUAGCUCCCACUCUACACCACAAAGAUUAGCUCCCACAGGGUAAGCCCUAGAAUUUUGAGAGUGAGAGUUUGAUUUUGACAUACUGUCCCAGCCGAAGAUUUCUUUUAUUUAUCGGCAUAGUUGUCUUUCCGUUACGGGACCGCGUGCUCAAAAGCGAGGAGGGAUCGCCUCAUAUCUACUUUAGUGGAUUCCCAAUGCAUUUUACAGGGUAGGGGACGCUUGGUUUGAAACAAGGAAAGUUUGCGAGAAAAAGUACUUCGACUUGGUAUAAUCAGGGAAAGGUUAGGAUGUGCAUCAAAAUCAGAGGUCAAAAUAUGAUGGGUUGACAAGUGAAGAGAAGAUCUCCGCAAUUGAGUUGAGAAGGUUUAAAAGCAUCCCACUAAAGAGCAUCGCCUCAACAAAAUAUUCAAAGUUUGAAAGCAUUCCACUGAAUAACCUCGCCUCAAUGCCAUCUAGAACUUACUUGAACACUAUGUAUGCGUUUACUAUAAUGAGUGAUGUUUUCAUGUUCUGGGUCUCAAUAUGGGCACUAUGCCAGGCUGCCCCAAAGUGAUGGUUGGUUAAAGCACAAUGCUCCUAUGCUGUAGCUGUCCUUUACAUUCUAUUUUCUCUUGUGCUACAUUUACAUUCUAUUUCUCUUGCAUUUGCAAGUAGAUAUGUAUCUGUUGUAACAAUUUGUUUCCCUUGGAUUUGAAAGUAGAUGCAACUGGUUUAACACUAUGUUUUCAGUACUACUUAUGUUUUUUUUCUAUUCAGAAAUUUCCUU